ensembl:lncRNA
AUGGGAGCACAUUUGAGACGAAAGCAUGUGGGGGCUGAUGCAGCAGAGGAAGAGCACCGCGGUCAAGUGAGCCGUCAUUUGGAAGAGCCAGCCCGAAAAAAACAAGCAACGAUGGACAACUACAUGGGGAACAAGACACUCACCCCCCAGCAAUUCAUACCACUUACAAACUCUAUUCUAAACAUGCUGGUAAAAGACAUGAGGCCACUAUCCAUGGUGGAAGGAGCAGGCUUCCAGCUAAUGCUAAAAAAUUAUUCUGGACUGAUAUUUUGCACUGUUUAGCUCAUUUUAUACUGCUGACUGUGUUCAUGUGCAAUAAAAUAGAUUGCAGUCAACUGCACAAUUCUCUUAUGUUUUUUUUUUCUUAACUGAAAUGCAUCCAUCACUUGUAUAGGUUAAAUAGCUAAACAAUAACAAACCGAUUAAUCGAUUAAUCGAAAAAAUAAUCAACAGAUUAAUCUAUUAUGAAAAUAAUCGUUAGUUGCAGCCCUAGAUAAGGGCAUAAAUUUGGGCACCACAAAAAACAAAUGGAGCUUCUAACAAGAGUUUGGAGUCUGAUUGAAGGUGUUCUCGACCAUUCUUCUUUACAAAACAUCUCUAGUUCAUUCAGGCCUGAUGCUUCUGGGCAUGGACAGCUCUCUCUAACUCACACCACAGAUUCUCAAUGAUAUUCAGGUGUGGGGACUGAGAUGGCCGUUCCAGAACGUUCUACUUGUUCCUCUGCAUGAAUGCCUCAGUAGAUGCUGAGCAGUUUUUAGGGUCGUUGUCUUGUUGAAAGAUCCAGCCCCGGUGCAGCUUCAGCGUUGUCACUGAUUCCUGGACACUGGUCUCCAUAAUCUGCUGAUACUGAGUGGAAUCCAUGCAUCCCUCAACUUUAACAAGAUUCCCACAGCAUGAUGGAACCUCCACCAUGUUUUACUGCAGGUAGCAGCUGUUUUUCUUGUAAUGCUGUGUUCUUGUUCCUCCAUGCAUAACACCCUUGUUCUGCCCAAAUAACUCAGUUUAGUUUCAUCAGUCCACAGCACCAUAUCAAUGAAGCAGGCUUGUCCAGAUGUGCUUCAGCAGACCUCAAGCAGCUCUGUUGGUGCUGUGGGUGGAGAAAGGGCUUCCUCUACAUCACUCUCACAUGCAGCAUCUCCUUGUGUAAAGUGCACCGAAUAGAUGAACGAUGCACAAUGACUCCAUCCGCAGCAAGAUGAUGUUGUAGGUCUUUGGUGCUGGUCUGUGGUUGACUCUGACUGUUCUCGCCAUUCUUUACUUCUGUUUAUCUGAGAUUUUUCUUGGUCUGCCACUUGGAGCCUGAACUUGAACUGUGCCUGUGCUCUUCCAUUUAAUCAAUAUGCUCCUAAAGUCUGGGGCACACCGGAGACAGAUGUGCCGUGCCGCUGAGCGCUUCUUGGAAAGUCGCGCGACAGUCACAACAUCACACAUAACUUGAGAACGGGAAGCGGGAAGUGACUCUAUUUUUCAUACGUGAUCAGACUUGCUGUUGUGUUUUGUGAGACUCUGAUUCAUUGAAAAUUGGUGAGCACAUUAUUUAUUAGAAUUUUUAAGAUCAAUAGUAUGUUAAAGUAAUCAAAACUGUGGUUGGGUUUGUGCUGGCGGCUGGGUUUGUCAUAAUGUCUGUUGUAAAGUACACGUGAACAGCCACGGCUGGGGGAAAUAACCGCGCGGGCGCAUCUGUCUCCCGUGUGUCCUAGGUUUAAAGCUUGGUUUAUGCUUGACACAUUUACUUUCCGCUUGGUGAUGCGGCUCGCGGCUGGAACGCGCUUCACAACUUGCAGCGUUUAUGGUUCAUGCGGCUUGUCUCUGCGGUGAGCCAAUAUUCUCCCAAACUGUAGGGGGCAGCAUGGAGCUCUACGACAUGCAUCCAACACUACACCAUAGUAGAAGUAGAAAUUACUGUUUACAACAUGGCAUUCCAGCAUUUUUAACAGCGUCCUCGUCUUUUCCGACAGUGCGAGCUAUUUCU